ACAAAAAUCAUAUUUUUUUAUUUGAGAGUUUCAAUCUUGCAGUUAUGGUUAAUAGAAACAAAAGGAGCAUAAAAUGGUGGAGUAGAACUGCAGAACAUAGCACUUAAGUUUAAGAUGUGUGCAGGAUUUAUACUUUAUCUUACAUCGUCAUAAUUAUUUUCCCAUUCUUAAAACAUAAUUACUCUUUCCUUAUAAUCAAUAUUAAUGCUCAGCAUCAACCUUGGAUUGCAAGUCAUCAUCUGAUCACCUGUUUCUAUACCAGCAGAUGAUGUUUGAAUCACUUGUUUCUAUACCGGUAGAUGAUGUUUGAACGAUCUUCUUUGCAGAUGAUGUUUGAACAUCUUCUUUUUUCGCAUAUGCUAUGCGAGGCCUUCCUCUUGGAAGAAUUAUAGGUCUACAGAAGAGUAAAAGCAACAUAAGCUCAGUGAAAAACAAGACGAUGCUUGUCCAUACGAAAAUGGUUCUCCUCCAGUUCCAGAUUAAUCUUUUCAGCUGUGGGAGAUCAGACUCAAGAGACAGUGAUGCUCCAUAGAUUUCAGGGAUACCAGCACCUGAUUUGCACUCAGCUCGAGACUCUAGCAUCACCUUCAGGUACGCAGUGGGCUCGAGUCCUUCGAUGAAGUCGUUCAUUUUUAUGUUCAGAAUCUGAGUUUCUGAUUGGAAACCAGCAAGAACAGAGGCACUCUUGAUGAUUGUUUCAACACAUCGGACGGGUUGGCUUUUGAACCGCAACAUACAUGGAUGACUUGAGCUUGCAGUGACUUUUCAAAUUGCUGACAGGAAUUCCACCCUCACCUGGAAGAUGCCAAGUUUGCGAUUGUAGUCAGACUCGGGCACUGUCAAAGAAACAAUGAGCUGCAAUUUGUGAUUGUAAGGAAUAACACGAUCUCCAACUUCCUUAGCAAUUAGGCCAGAAGGAUCACCCACACCAGAGUGUGGCAUUAUUGUCACAAAUGCUACUGGACUAGUUUUUGUGUAAUCGAAGUUCAGAAUUUCUCUGGCCUGAACAGGCUUAUCUACAAUGUUUCUCAUCAAUAAACCUCCAAAUACAAACCCUGACACUAGUAACGCUAAAAGCAUGAGAAAUACAUAGCUUGACCAGAAGAAUGCACGCCCAAACCUCAUCGCUAUAUUUCCCAUUGUUUUUUGUGCUUUCUCAGUAACAUUUCUACUAGAAAUACCCCAGAAUUUAAACAAUUUCGUAAUAAAAAAAACCCUCUAAUGUGCCUCAGAGUUUGGAAAGGAAACAUCAGAAACAUGAUCGAGAAGUACGAUAACAAAUCGGAAAUGUGAAAAAACUGACCAGAAGACUGAACUGAAAACCCAUGAACUUCAUCAGUAGUACUGCAAAGAAAGCAAGAAAAUUCAAAGAAAAUUGAUUGCAGUCUGCGGAAGGAGAAUUCACUACCUGUGACUCAUCAAC
rnacentral:misc_RNA from 1 species